CCUUGGUCUGCUGAACGCGCCCAUUGCUGGAAUAGCUGAUCGUUUCCGGUCCGACCACCGACUGAUCGACCACGUUCUCACACGUUCUCCUCGCAUACCUGCGCGCAUCAAGGGAAACGCAUAAGUAUUUUUGAGACUGCUGUCCUGUCUUUGCAUCUCUUCGGCAGCACCAAAGUCGCUGUAUCGCUUUUUGUGGGAAAAACACGCUAUGUACCUAACACGCUAUGUCCUUGAAUUAAUUACGUAAACCUAUGUGUUCAAUUAACCCGAUAAAGCAUAGAACGCGGUGUGUGACGAACUACGUGAAUUAGCCUACAUUAUUAAAAAAUUGGAAAACUAAUUCAACAUGUCGCAUAAACAUUCGUACAAACGCGUACUUAGUUCUUCACAACGAAAAGGAUGGUAAAAAUGGAGGCAGAUAUUAUAAUGGAAUCACAUGAAAUUACGGAGUCUACAUUUGCUUCAACAUCAUUUUCUGAAAAUAUAUUACAAAGUCCAUUACAAAAUGAUAAUAUGCAUGAUGAUGAUACAGUCCAAAAUAUAUUUGAAAAUGUUUUACAUGAUGAAGAUCUAGUAUCAAGUGAAUAUGAGCUUUCUGAUGAGAAUAUCGUAAUCGUACAAGAUCACAUAAACGAUAUUACAGAAAAUAAUAAUGUAGAUAGCGCAUUAAAUAAGAGUAUUGAUUUAAAAACAUUUUUAAGCCAAUGGGCUAUUGAAGAACAUAUUUCGCAAUCAUCAUUGCGCUCUUUGUUACAAGGAAUAAAACAAUAUACAUGUGAAAAUUGCAGCUUGAACAUACCGUUUGAUCCAAGAACUCUUUUGCAUACUCCUAGGAGUAGUAAUAUUGAGAUUUGCGCUGGUGGUCAAUAUUUUCAUUUUGGACUGAGAAAAGGAAUACUAAGUAUUAUACCGUCACUUUCACGAAAUAUCACAGAAACCAAAAUAUCAAUAAAUGUUGAUGGAUUGCCGUUAUCAAAAUCAUCGCAAUAACAAUUUUGGCCGAUCCUGGGAUCCGUAGCUGAAUCUAAAGAGGUUUAUAUUAUUGGUAUUUACUAUGGAACACAGAAACCAUCAGAUAAUAAUGAAUUUCUUGCAAAAUUUGUGGAUGAAGUAAAAAUAUUACAUGAAGAAGGAAUCAUUUUAAAAAACACAAGUGUGUCAUGCACAAUACAUUCUAUAAUAUGUGAUGCGCCAGCAAAGGCAUUUAUGUUGCAAAUAAAAGGACAUAACGGUUAUUACAGUUGCACAAAGUGCAUAACUGAAGGCAGCUACGUUAAUGGUAAAAUGUGUUUUCCUGAAAUAAAUGCACAGGUACGAACAGAUACAGAUUUUCGUUUAAGGAAGGAUGAAAAUUAUCACAUUGGGCAUUCAGCUCUUUUAGCGUUACCAGAUUUUGAUCUCGUAAACAAUAUACCUCUCGAUUAUAUGCAUCUAAUAUGUUUGGGAGUUAUGCGCAAAUUGUUAUACAUAUGGUUAUUUGGGGAUCUUAAAGUUCGUUUGCAACACAGGAAAGUUGAGACAAUAUUAUCGGAGCUGGAAAAUGUUUUAAAAUUAUACAUGCCAUGCGAAUUUGUACACAAACCAAGAUCACUUGCCCUUGUUAAACUAUGGAAGGCAACAGAAUUUCGAAAUGUUUUAUUAUAUACAGUGCACAUAUACAUAAUGGAAGAAUUAUAGUCCAUCCUCGAGUUCGAAGUUGGAGUGGAAAUGAUUCCUAUUUCCUGGAUAACGGAAAAUGAAAGUGCCGCUCGUUGACCACCUUUUACUUCACAUUUAAAGUUUAAUAAAGCUGUACAACAGCACAUAUCAUAUGAAAGUAAUUGGCCCUUGCAUGAAAUAAACAAGAUAUUAGCCACUUCAAAUUCAUAUGAAGAAGGAUUAUUGAAAUUAAAGAAAGCAGAAAUAGCAUCGGACAUUAAUUCUGAAAAUGACGAUUUUGAAAAUUCUAAGAAAUCUAGAAAAGACAGAGCGAAAAAGGUUAUCUCAAGCAGUAGUGAUGGUAGCGAUUCUGAUAAUGAAAAUACGCUGUUUUACCAUGUUAUCUUAAGAUUCCGCAAAUAAAAAGAUUUGACAAAUCAAAGAAAUUUGAUGAUACAUCAAAAAAGUUAUGUCAAGCGAAAAAGGUUAUGUCAAGCAGUGAUGUUAGCGAUUCUGAUAAAGAAAAUACGCAGUUACCAUGUUAUGCUAACAUUCCGCAAAUAAAAGGAUUUGAUAAAUCAAGGAAAUUUGAUGAUAAAACACAGUUUAUAAAAGAAGCUGUAACAACUUGUGAAAGAAAUGAGCAAAAGAAAUCUGAAAAUACAAAUGUACGCGAAAUUAAGAAGAAAAAUGAUAAGGAUGUUAUUUUUGAUAAUUUAUAUCAUGACGAGUCUAGCGUUGAACGUAACGCAAGUAAUAUUGGUUCAACACGCUCUAAUUUUGAACGUUACGUGAUAAGGAAACUAUCAGACAUCGGAUUUCAAUUAUCUUCAUUGCAAGAACAAGGAAAAUUUUUGAAUAGCAAAUUACACACUAUUUUACUAAAUCUUCAAACAUCUGUUUCUCAUGGAAUAGAAGACAAAACUGCGGAGCAAGAUAUAAUGAAUAUAAUGAAUAAUUUUCCCUUUGAGACUAUGGAAGAUUUAAAUGCUUUUGAAAAAUUGAAGGUCAAAUAAAUCGCAAAAAAUUGAUUAUAGAAUUAUCGCGUAUUGGCGGAAGUGAUAUAAAAAAAUGAUAUUUAAUCUUCUACGAACAUUGACAUCCGAUAAAUUAGCGUGCAUGUUUAAUUAUAUUGGAGGAAAGAAAAAGCGAAUGUUUUAUGAUUUGGAGCUACGGAAAAUUAUAUUAAGUGUUGUACGAACUAAUUUUAUAGACGCAACAGAAGAAACUGUCAGUGAACCAAUAAAAUCGUGGUUACAGCAUGCAAAUGAACGUUACCGAAAAAAAGCAAAAAACAAUACGGAUGAACAUGCAACAACAUAAAAUUUUAAUUAAGGGAUACAAUUAGUAUUUGAAUAAAAAUAGGCGUAGCUCUUGAAAAUCAAAAGUGCAAAUAAUUCCGUCCAUUGGACUGUAACUUAUAGUGUAUUUAUACAACCAACUCGGAUGUGAGUGUCCGCAGUGAUAAACUCGGGUACAUGGGUUCACAAUGAGCAUCAUGAUACUCAAGAGCUAUGCCUAUUUUUUCCUCUUGCAUAUCCGCUCGGCCGGCAUGAUGGUCGCACCGCUCAGACACAGGACUGUCAUACAUGUCCGCAGGAGCUUGCGAGAUUUCUAAUUACUAGUCUAUUCUUAAUGAAUUUCUUAUCAAAAUCUUCUACGUCCUUUAUUUUUAUAUACGUUAUCAAUAUAUAAUUAAUAUAAGUAUAUUGAUAGCGUAUAUAAAAAUAAAAAACAUAGAGAAUUUCAAUAAGAACAGAUGCACUGGCGUAGUUCUUGAAAAUCGCCUAGAUCGUGCAAAUAACUCUGACCAAAGUUUAAAUCAUACUAAAGAAAAGUACAAAUUUGUUCUUAAGCAAAUAUUAGUUUUUUUUACAUGUGUAUUAACUAAGCUAUUAAUAUUAAAAUUUCUAUCUUUAUUCGUUACAUAAAAUGUUUUCUAAAAACAAAGAAUGCGUACAAUUUAACUUGGUUAUAUUUGUAAAUGAAAUUGCACACGUGGACGUUGCUUGUGCAUAUGAUUCUUCGAUAUUUUGUGGUUGUAUGAUCAAAGAAAGUACUUUUUGAGACAAAUUUUCUUAUCGACAAUGAUCACGAUGAAUUGGCGUUAAAAAAAUAGAAUAGUUUUUGUCAGAAACAAAGUCCAUUAUGAUUAGAAUGUUCUUUGUCCUUUUUUAUAUUGAUAUUUAUUUGUGGAUUCAGAUAUCCAAACACUUAGGGAAAGAAAUUCCUUGUGAGCUGGUCGUAAGUUUUACUUCAAAUAUUUCUACUAAUAAUAUUCUUAAUAAAUAAUUGUGAAAUUGCUUUAAACAAUUCAAUGUCUAUUUGUACUUAGAAAAAAUCGUGAUCAUUCUUUACUACGGUUUUCUCAAGACUUGACUAUUGGUGCUUUCCAUCAACGUAUACAGUACCAUCAACGUAAUACAGUAAAUCGUUUUAUCCUUGUCGUUUAUCAAUGUUAAACAAAAAGGAAAUGAUUCAAUGUAAUUAUGUUACAUUGUGUCACCUAUGUCGUUUUGCUGGAAAGCACUCUAUAAAUAAUUAUGAAAUGGCUUUAUGGUGAUGGUGACUUGAUAAUACUGGUCGUUAUGGAAUAGCUAGCUUGUAUCCGUAUAUCGGGAGUAAAUGGCAACAAACGUCUAUAAAAGUACUUUCUCGUCAAAGUAUCUAAAAAUCGAUUGUAUCUAAGUGCAUUUGUAAAAAAUAGGAAUAUUGUGAGAUAUACAGUGUUUGGAAAGGUAAGGUCAAUCGAAUAGGAAGGGAAAGAAGAGGAAAGGGGAUACCCAUUAAAAAUUUCAAGGUUAUCUUUACGUGACCUUGAGAACGCUAUUCUUCUAUGCACUGCUACACUUAAAACCCUACAAUUUCUGUAUGAAACAUUUUUCUCAGAAAUGCGUACUUUUUGAAAUAUUAAGAGGUAUCAACACUUUUUAGACACCCCUGUAAAGCGCUAUAUUUUCUAAACCAUAGCAAAUACGAAAAAAUUUUAUUUACA